UUCGCAAUGCCCGAAAGGGUGACGAAGCGACGCCGCGUGGGUGAGGAAGGCCUUCGGGUUGUAAAGCCCUGUCAGGAGUUAAGAAAUGCAGGUGCGCUAAUACCGUAUCUGUUUGACGAAGGCUCCAAAGGAAGCCACGGCUAACUCUGUGCCAGCAGCCGCGGUAAUACAGAGGUGGCAAGCGUUGUUCGGAAUUAUUGGGCGUAAAGAGCACGUAGGUGGAUUUGUAAGUCAGAUGUGAAAGCCUUCUGUUCAACGGAAGAAUUGCUUCUGAAACUGCAAACCUUGAGUAUAGGAGGGGAGAAUGGAACUUCUGGUGGAGCGGUGAAAUGCGUAGAUAUCAGAAGGAACACCGGCGGCGAAAGCGAUUCUCUGGCCUAUAUCUGACACUCAGUGUGCGAAAGCUAGGGGAGCAAACGGGAUUAGAUACCCCGGUAGUCCUAGCCGUAAACGAUGGGCACUAAGUAGAGGGGUUUU
rnacentral:rRNA from 1 species